rnacentral:rRNA from 1 species
CCUACGGGGGGCUGCAGUGGGGAAUAUUGGACAAUGGGCGAAAGCCUGAUCCAGCCAUGCCGCGUGUGUGAAGAAGGCCUUCGGGUUGUAAAGCACUUUCAGUGGGGAAGAAAGCCUUGGGGCUAAUAUCCUCGAGGAAGGACAUCACCCACAGAAGAAGCACCGGCUAACUCCGUGCCAGCAGCCGCGGUAAUACGGAGGGUGCGAGCGUUAAUCGGAAUUACUGGGCGUAAAGCGCGCGUAGGCGGUCUGAUAAGCCGGUUGUGAAAGCCCCGGGCUCAACCUGGGACGGGCAUCCGGAACUGUCAGGCUAGAGUGCAGGAGAGGAAGGUAGAAUUCCCGGUGUAGCGGUGAAAUGCGUAGAGAUCGGGAGGAAUACCAGUGGCGAAGGCGGCCUUCUGGACUGACACUGACGCUGAGGUGCGAAAGCGUGGGUAGCAAACAGGAUUAGAUACCCUAGUAGUC